rnacentral:rRNA from 1 species
UGGGAACCUUCCCUAUGGUUCGGAAUAGCUCAGGGAAACUUGGGGUAAUACCGGAUAAGCCCUUCGAGGGAAAGAUUUAUCGCCAUUGGAUGGGCCCGCGUCGGAUUAGCUAGUUGGUGAGGUAACGGCUCACCAAGGCAACGAUCCGUAGCUGGUCUGAGAGGAUGAUCAGCCACACUGGGACUGAGACACGGCCCAGACUCCUACGGGAGGCAG